UCUUCAUUUCACGAACUUCCAGUUUUCAUUUUAGUUUUCCAUCUUCUAGGGUUUUGUAGGGUUAGGAGUUUAAUUUGGGGUUUACACGGAUAAUCUUCAUUUGAGAAAAAAUUGGGAGCACCAAAGAGAGGUGAAGUGGUGUGUCUCUUAGUAAUGGAGGAAGUGAUCAUGCUUUGUUGUAUCUCAACGUAUAUGAUCUCACCCCUGUCAAUAACUACCUGUACUGGUUGGGCUUCGGAAUCUUCCAUUCUGGUAUCGAAGGGUCUUUCUGCAACUGUUUAUUGCCUGAAAACAUUCAAGUUGCAGCUGUUAGACAUCUACCUGAUCAUGCAACAAUUUCUGAUGAAGAAUCAGAUUCCGGUGAUUCAUCUUUAACAAUGGGGAAUGAAGAAGAUGAAGUGGAUGAUGAUGAUGAUCAUCAUCUUUUGACUGAAUAGAAUAGUGAUGUGGCAUUUUUUGGGAUUAAAAAAUUUACAUUUCAACUACAACUUAUAUCUUCAAAUAAUGUUGAUUUGAUCUGUUGUCUUCAAUUUUUCAUUUGCAGGCAUCAAGAGAGGUUCAGGGUAGCAGGUUGUCAGCGACGACAGCAGCUGCAGAGCUGUUUCUUGCCAGUUUUGAGUUGGUGGAUGGUAGGGUCAGAGUUGGAGGGGUGGUCGGAGCAGUUGGGUGGCUGAAUAGAGCUACGGUGGGGAUCAACCUAAAGUGGCAACACGGAGGCUAAAGGGUAGACGAUGGUGGUUUCGACGGUUUUUGAGAGGGGAAGAUGGAGAGAUGUGCACCAAAUGGGUUGAUUUCUUCCUCUGUGCCAAGAACCUCCACAAUUGUGACAAGUGUUGCUCUCCCAUGGUGCCAAGUUGGUCCACUCCGGUCGUGACACAUUUUGCGACCUUAAUCCGUGUUCCGAUUUCCAACGAAAAAAGAUUUUGUUUAAAUUUUUUGUAUAUACUAGUCAGAUGUCCUGAAUGAUUCUGAAUAUGUGAUAAAAAUUUCCUAAGAUUAGACGUAACUAUGUUAAAAACACGUUUGUAUUAUUCAGUUACUUUUACAAUUUUUGCGCUUCGAUUGAUUUUGUAAAAUGACUAUCUAUUAAGCAAUAUUUCUAGCUAGUUGUACAUAUAUAAAUUUACCACAACAAAAUGUCGAACACACAUGGAUAUAUUAACCCUAGUUACCUGAAAAAAAACAAAAUUUUAUAAUGAAAAUUAGAACAAAGACUAUACUUUUAAAAUUUUCGAAUAACUUAAAGGAAUUGAUACAUUUAAUGGAAUCGCCACAGUGACAAGUACAUCACUUUUUUCCCAUUAAAUUAUCAUCCAUUUGACUAAGAAAACGAUAUCUUGGCUCUAGGACUCAUUCUAUUUCUCAUGAGGUACAAGGAUGGUGCGGUAAAACGACUA